rnacentral:rRNA from 1 species
UACGUAGGGGGCUAGCGUUGUCCGGAAUUACUGGGCGUAAAGGGCGCGCAGGCGGUUAGAUAAGUCAUACGUGAAAGGCACUGGCUCAACUGGUGUAGGUCGUGUGAAACUGUCUAGCUUGAGUGCAGUAGAGGAAAGUGGAAUUCCUAGUGUAGCGGUGAUAUGCGUAGAUAUUAGGAGGAACACCAGUGGCGAAGGCGACUUUCUGGGCUGCAACUGACGCUGAGGCGCGAAAGCUGGGGGAGCGAACGGGAUUAGAUACC